CAAGCCAGUAGCCAAAUAGCGUUUGCUUGUGAAAUAAAGGCUCACCAUGAUCAGACCAUGAUGGUUGCAGCUGUUCAUUGGGAUCCAUGUCUGGAAGAGAAAAGGGAGGGAGGAAGAAGAGCCAAUCUCUGGUUUCAGUGGUUGGUGCUUCCCCUCCAAGACUCUCCAUCCCAAGGUCAAACUCCCAAACAGGAAAAAGAGGGUCUCAACUCAAUUGAGCUACAAAGCAUAAAUAAUUUAAAAUUCAGUUCUUUUCCAAUUGUUUCUACACUAUUGCAUGGUUCCAAUAGUUGUCCUAAAUGUUGGAUUUACUUUCUUUUCAUUCCCGUGUUGCUACUUAUUUAUUGGGGGGGGGGGGGCAGGGAUGUAUAGUUGUGUUGUGUCUGAGUAAUUGUGUAGGAGAAUUCAGAAACCUGAAAAGAACUCUUUGGGGUACUUUGUAUCCUUAUUUUACCCAAUAUGGAUUCUCUUCACCCCCCCCCCACACACACACAGGAAAAAGGAGAUAUUUAAUUUAAAAUGCCCAAAGCAGAUACAUACCUUUUUGAAGGGGCCUGUAGGCAAAGGCAGCCAGAACGCAUAUACCUAGAAUAGCGCUAUAGGCCCACAGGCUACCUCUCCAUCCAAGCUUCUGGAUUAGAUAAUGCUGAAGUUGAUACUGGACGAAAGUUCCUGCAGGAAAAAGGAGAUAUUUAAUUUAAAAUGCCCAAAGCAGAUACAUACGGUUUUGAAGAGGCCUGUAGGCAAAUCCACAUAUGCUUAGAAUUGCACUAUACAAACGCGAAAUAUCUCGCCAUCCAAAAGUCUUAAUGAAAUAAUAGUGAAGUUUAUUCUUUACGAAAGUUCCUGCAGCCCCUCCAGCCAUCACUAAUCCAGUGGCAAAUGAACGCUUUGUUGUAAAAUAAAGGCUAACCAUAAUGUCCUAUGUGGAGAUAGGACUCUGGUGUGAAUGGAAUGGACAUCAGAGUGAGGAAUAUAAAUUCUGAUAAAACAUUUUCUCUUGUCUUCAUUUCUUUGCCUUGCCUGACUUAUCUGCUUCGACACUAAGCAAGAGCCCAGUUUUGGGGACAACAAAACCAAGAUGGAUUUUAUUCAAGCUCAAGGCAGUGAACAUAUCUAAGAUUUCUUCAUCCUCAAGAGAACAACCUUGUGAAGGCUGAGAGAAGGACUGGCUCAAGGUCACUCACUGGGCUUUCAUGGUUGAGAUGGGACUCGUAGUUAAGGCAACAAUGAAAAGGAAGUAGACAACAGAAGCCUUGAGCUGAAAGGGACCUUGUCAGCAACAAGGAAGAAAUGGUCGUACAGCCAAUAUCCUUGGAUGAUCUCUCAGCGACCACUGAUGGUCCCAACUUCCAGGUUGAUGAACUGAGAGACUCCUUUGACUUUCAGACCCAGAAAUUCCAGAAAGAUAAUCAGUGGAUGAAAGAUCAGCACAGCUAUCUCCAGGAGAAAGUGGAUCAACUUAAGACCACAACAGACGAUCUGCAGAAGAUCAUGCCAUCAGUUAGAGCUAGAGAACAAAUCUUUGGUGAAAUACAUUAAAGAACUCUACAAAGAACUGCACGAGGUUACUUAGCCAAGUGUCCAUCUCAAGUAAGAGAAGGCUGACUGAGAAAAACCUCAAAGAGGCGAGGAACUUUCUGCCAGACAUUAAGAAGCACCUCCAGAGUCUGCAACAUGAAGUGGCUGAGAUGGACCACAGUUACCAUGUGCAGAAAAACCACUACAGCCAACUGAGAAAGUCACCCCUCUUCAGAAGAUGAGUGAAAACAAGAAGAAGCACCUCAAAAGUCUGCAGCAGCCGCAUCUGAGAUCCCAGAUCCAGCUCUGGCCAGACUCACCUGGCACACAAGGUAGCAAGUCCCCCCCACUCAUCACCUCCCAGGUACACCAGAUAGGAAAUAUGACCAAAUGAGGUAACUCUACUUUAUUGGAAGGAUACAUAAGAUAAUCUUGAAAGUCUGAAAGUACAUCUCUCCCACCAACUCUUUUGAAAGCCUGAAAAAUGAUGGAGGGUCCUUUCUGAGGUUCUUUCUGUGCCAGUUAUGCACCUGGGGGCUCCCCCACCUUAUCUGAUUAUUCCCUGUGCAGCAGCAUCUCCUUCUCUCCCCAAGGUGAUUUAUUUGUUACUACUCCUUUAUUUUUAUAAACAACUCAAGGCAGUCAAUCUAUCAAACACACCUUCCUCCUCCUAUUUCCCCUCACAACAACAACCCUGUGAAGUAGAAGGUAUAGUGACUGACCGACAGUCACCCAGCUUUGAUGACUAAGGUGGGACUAGAACUCAGGAUCUUCCACUUUCUAGCCUGGUGCCAUAUUUUAUUUGCACUUAUCUUUACACUUCCUUAAUAGUUUGCGGGAAUGCCUUGAUCCAGCAAAGUAUUAACUACGGUACUCCCUCAUAAUUAAGUUAAUUAAUUAAGAUAAUGCCUCAUAAAACUGAGGAGGUGUGAAUAGCAAUUGGUCCUUGCUCAUCUAGUUUUCUAUGUUGUCAUUAAUACAGGCGGGAUAGUUGAA